UACGUAGGGGGCAAGCGUUAUCCGGAUUUACUGGGUGUAAAGGGAGCGUAGGUGGCAAAGUAAGUCAGAUGUGAAAGCCCGUGGCUUAACCGCGGGAUUGCAUCAGAAACUGCUUUGCUAGAGUGCAGGAGAGGUAAGUGGAAUUCCUAGUGUAAGCGGUGAAAUGCGUAGAUAUUAGGAGGAACACCGGUGGCGAAGGCGGCUGUCUGGCUGAGUACUGACGCUGAUGCGCGAAAGCGUGGGGAGCAAACAGGAUUAGAUA
rnacentral:rRNA from 1 species